rnacentral:lncRNA from 1 species
GAAAAUAAACCAACAAAGUUCACUUGGAAAUUUUCACAAACACCUUGUAUGCACAACAAAGUUCAAGCCAACCCACCAAAAAAUCGGAGCUUAACCACCCUGAUUUAAGAAGAUACUCUGAUACCAAAUUGUUGGGAAAACACUCUUCCAAAGAUGCCCAAGAUCAAACAAACUUGAAAUGUGAUAAAUCUCAAACCACUUGAAAAGAUAAGAAAUUGGGGAAGAAAUGAUUUUU